UGUUUCAGUCUUCUAAUUUAUUGGCUGUAGCCUCCCUUUUCAUUGAUGAUUGAGAUUCUGUGCCAGAUGAAUCAGCUAAAUACUCAGUCCAGUAUCUCAGUCACUAUUUCCCUGAACAAGGAUUGAAUAUUGGCUGGGACCUAGUCCAACCUUUGAAGCACAUCCUCUCCCAGAGACUCUUCUUGCCUCCUGCCAUCCUUAACAAAAUGUGUCACACCCCAAAAAGAAAUGGUGCACUUUCUGGCUGUCAACUUCCUAGGGUGGAAAAUAAGGGGAAAGAAGCAAAGAUCCAUCAAAGAUGUAAGUAACUGGGUUGUGGGGGUAGGGUGUACACGCAUCUGUGUGCAUAGCAAGAUGGAACUCUCCAGGUGCAUUUGUAUGUACUAUACAUAGUAGAACAGAACAUUUUCCUAAGCAAGAUGCCUCUUCUUGCAAGUAUAGGUCAAUCUGGCCAUUUACAGUAGCAUAGCAAAGGGUUUCGUAUCACCAAAUGUCAGUAUCCCAAGGAUAUGCAUUUAUGUAAAAAAAUGGUGAUAUUAGAGUUUAUUUCUUGGAUAUCACGUUUGCAAUUGAGAGGCAUGCAUGAAGGUUAUAUUUUAUCCUUGCCACUCUUCUGCAGUUAGGCUAAGACUUGCCAAAGGCCUCCUAGACAGUUUAAUAGCUGAAAAGGAAUUUGAACACGCAUCUCUCUUGUCCAAACACAAGGCACACUCUAAUCUAUUAAACCACUAUGACUAUCAGUUGUUAAUAGCCAUUAUACAGACAUGGGUAUGUAGAAAGCAUUUUCUUAAGGCUCUGGCGAUACUGUACAACCAUAAACUUGAAAAUGCCCCUGGGAUUAUCUAUUUGGAUUUAUAAUAGGAUGCUGUAGAGUGUACACUAAGAACUGGGCUGUGUACAUUUCAAAAAUUAAAAUUUGGCAAUCUUCUGACAUGUGUAGCCUAUGUACUAGGCAAUGUAGCACACAUAGACAGACAUUUUUCCAUUGCACUGAAUAGAUAAAUACUGUUAAAGUGCUCAGUAAAUUCUGCUUGUCUAAUUGUGUAAAUGAACUUUCAGAAGAUUCAAAACCAUGAAAAAUACAGGCAGGAUGUUUACAGAGUGGGGAGGAAAGAAGAAAUAAAAAGGGAAUGUUCUGGGAUCUGUAGUGCAAGGCAGUCUAGAAACAUAAAGCCAGAGGAAUCAAAAUAAUCUCUGAUGGCAGGGAGGAGCUUCUAAGCAAGAGCUAUUUCAGAGCUGAGAGUCAGAAGAUUUCAAAGUUGAAUUUGUGCUCUGGGUAAUCAGGAGUAGGCAAUAAACUACUUUCAAUAUGAGAACUCAGCUCUACAAUACAUUUUAUAUUUUAUUUAAAAUUAUUCUUUCCCAGUUUGCUUUUAAAGUUAUAUAAAAUUGAAUUUUGCAUACAGAGUAGUAACAUUUGCAGCUGCAGUCAUAAAUUAUUGCAGAAUAAAAGCCAACCAAACUUCCUAAACUCCAAAUUUAAAAUAACAUAUUCUUAAAUGCCCCUGCCUAUGCAGAAAUAAAUAAAUGCAGCAUGAUUUUCUGGCAGCUUUCUUUGGGAUGGAGUUUAAAGUCAGAUGUUCCUCUUUUUAUGCGCAGAGUAGUUCCUCACCACUCGGUCAUCACAGAAAACCUAAAUUCAUCA